rnacentral:rRNA from 1 species
UACGUAGGGUGCAAGCGUUGUCCGGAAUUAUUGGGCGUAAAGGGCUCGUAGGCGGCCAACUAAGUCGGACGUGAAAUCCCCAGGCUCAACCUGGGAACUGCGUCCGAUACUGGAUGGCUUGAAUCCGGGAGAGGGAUGCAGAAUUCCAGGUGUAGCGGUGAAAUGCGUAGAUAUCUGGAGGAACACCGGUGGCGAAGGCGGCAUCCUGGACCGGUAUUGACGCUGAGGCGCGAAAGCCAGGGGAGCAAACGGG